ensembl:miRNA mir181c microRNA 181b-2
CUGGGUCCUGAUUCACAUUCAUUGCUGUCGGUGGGUUUUAUCUCUUCGACUCGCCGGACAAUGAAUGAGAACUAUGGCCC